CUGGCAGAGCACAGCCUUAGCUCAGUGAAUUUACGUUUGCUGAAGUGCCCAUCAUGGACUCAUGUGCAGAACUCUACUGCAUGGCUCCUUCUAGAGGAAUGAGACUGCACUCCUUGCCCACAAAGAGCCAGAAUAAGAUGAGAGCAUCCCUUACGUUCACACUGCCGUGUUUACACUUCUACGUGACUGAGUGUCAUUUGGAAUGGCCAGCGUCUGGGUUCUUUCUGUGCUUUGGGAGGAAGAAAUCAUCUCUGAAGUCAGGAUGCUUAGGAGCAGAGCCUUGUUUUGGCAGAAUGUGUGUCCAUAUGUCCAGCCUGAAGACGGCCACCUGCAAACCAGCAAGAGGGCCCUCACCAAGAACUGAAUCUGCUGGUGCCUCGAUCUUGGACUUUCCAGCCUCUAGAACUGUGGCAGUGCCUUCCUUCUCUACACCCAGCUAGAUGCCCGACUGCUUUCAUUUCCUGAGGAGCCCAGAAGGUUGCAAUGCAUACGAUAUUAGGAAUGAGGCUAUCCACCCGGGCCAGGACAGCUCCUCCGGGGACGGUGGAAUCAGUACCAGGCUUUAGCUUUCUGAGAACUGUACGGUCCCUGAUUAACAUGUGAGGAUUUUAAAAAUUUUUUAAUGGUUUUAUUUUCUCAUUUUCUUGUUCAAUUAGCUACAGUCUUAUUCUUUGCACAAGAUCUGCGAAAAGCCAGAAACCAGAGACGUACAGAAGUGGAACUACUGAAAUGCUAUGAAUUUACUGUAAGAGAGCAUUCUUCCCUGGAGAGGUUUACGGCCGCCAAAGCACUCUUUUACUGGUGAAAGUCAGGGGCGGGAAGGAAGAAAACGAAAAGCAUGAUUCUAGGAACCACGUUGUAGAAAUGCCAAAGGGAGGUUCAAACAAGGAAGUAAUUGUUCGUUAGCUGUUGUCAAUGAUUAAACAUGAAUCCCCAUUUCCAUAUGACCCAG
rnacentral:lncRNA from 1 species